GCCUGGGUGGCUUAGUCGGUUAAGCAUCUGACUUAGGCUCAGGUCAUGAUCUCAUGUUUUCGUGAGUUCGAGCCUAGUGUCAGGCU
rnacentral:tRNA from 1 species